CCUACGGGAGGCAGCAGUGGGGAAUAUUGCACAAUGGGGGGAACCCUGAUGCAGCAACGCCGCGUGGGUGAAGAAGUAUUUCGGUAUGUAAAGCCCUGUCAGCAGGGAAGAAAAUGACGGUACCUGACUAAGAAGCCCCGGCUAACUACGUGCCAGCAGCCGCGGUAAUACGUAGGGGGCAAGCGUUAUCCGGAUUUACUGGGUGGAAAGGGAGCGUAGGCGGCAUGGCAAACCAGAUGGGAAAUACCGGGGCUCAACCCCGGGAGUGCAUUUGGAACUGUUAAGCUGGAGUGUCGGAGAGGCAGGCGGAAUGCCUGGUGUAGCGGUGAAAUGCGUAGAUAUUAGGAGGAACACCAGUGGCGAAGGCGGCCUGCUGGACGAUGACUGACGUUGAGGCUCGAAAGCGUGGGGAGCAAACAGGAUUAGAUACCCUUGUAGUC
rnacentral:rRNA from 1 species